CUUCUUCGCACAUGACCAGAGAAGGGAGAGCAGAAAACGAGAGAGCUGGCUGAGCACAAGAGAGCUGGCUGUGCUUGUAUGACGUGGCAGUACAUGUGAACGUGUGGAGAGCAGGAUAAAAGUGACAGAGUUUGAGAGUGGCGGGCUCAUUGGUGAAUUUCAAAGAAUUGUUAUGAGACAUUUCGACUUUUGAAACAAGAGUAUGGAAUAAUAAAUCGGAGAUCAAAUCAACGGAUGUAACCGGUGAGCAGAUUCAUAAGAUAACAGUCCUUGCCAUUGACUAUGUUUGCGAAGAUUAAAGAACAUUCAUGACAUGGGAAAGAUUAAUUGCACCAGCAUGAAGUCUCUUUGCCAGUAGGAUCAUAACAGACAUUAACAACGUCUUCAGCCAGAAGUCAAUAUCCAACUUACUAUCUGAUACAUCAUGGCUGAACUUGUUCCAGUUGAUCAAGCAGCAUCAAUAUUUAAAGAACACAAACUGGGAACCAGACGAUUCAAUAGGACUUCACAACCAGGACAACCAGAGUCAACCACCUCCAAGCCACAGAAAUAUUCUUUGAUCUUCCAAAUCAAGUUUGUUAUGUGUUGUGUUGUACUAUUUUUAAACAUUUUAAACAUAACAAACAGACUGCAGGCUAUAAAAACAAAUGUUUGUACAAUUAAUAAAGAUAACAACAAAUGUUUGUACUAUUUCUAAACAUAACAAACAGACUGCUGACAAUAACAACAAAUAUGUGUACUAUUAAUAAAGAUACCAACAAAUAUUUGUACCAUUUAUGAACAUUACAAACAUACUUUAGACUAUAACACCAUUAGACUUGAAAAAGACAAACAUGAACAUGGUGUAAGUCUAUAUAAUGAUAUUUCAUUUUCUUAAAGGAAAGACGAGGCCCAUUCUAUAUGUCAAAUAUGUCCUAUUAGUGAAUAACCAUAUUCAACAUUCUCCAUAUCCUAUUAGUGAGUAACCAUAUUCAACAUUCCCUAUGUCUUAUUAGUGAAUAACCAUAUUCAACAUUCCCUAUGUCCUAUUAGUGAAUAACCAUAUUCAACAUUCCCUAUGUCCUAUUAGUGUUUAACCAUAUUCAACAUUCUCUAUGUCCUAUUAGUGAAUAACCAUAUUCAACAUUCCCUAUGUCCUAUUAGUGAUUAACCAUAUUCAACAUUCUCUAUGUCCUAUUGGUGAAUAACCAUAUUCAACAUUCUCUAUGUCCUAUUAGUGAAUAACCAUAUUCAACAUUCCCUAUGUCCUAUUAGUGUUUAACCAUAUUCAACAUUCUCUAUGUCCUAUUAGUGAAUAACCAUAUUCAACAUUCCCUAUGUCCUAUUAGUGAAUAACCAUAUUCAACAUUCCCUAUGUCCUAUUAGUGAAUAACCAUAUUCAACAUUCUCUAUGUCCUAUUAGUGAAUAACCAUAUUCAACAUUCCCUAUGUCCUAUUAGUGAAUAACCAUAUUCAACAUUCCCUAUGUCCUAUUAGUGAAUAACCAUAUUCAACAUUCCCUAUGUCCUAUUAGUGAAUAACCAUAUUCAACAUUCUCUAUGUGCUAUGAAAAAUGUAACACUUAUGUUGAUUAACGACCAAUCUACUUUCACAAAGCUCUUAGCGUCCGAGACAAUAAAAAUGAAAUAAAAACAUCUUGAUUUCGAGUAUUGACCACAGCAAUCAUAAGAAAUCCCCCCUUCAAUAAAUUUGAUAACAACGACAUUAGUUCAUAGGUGAAAUAGUUCUUGUGACGUUGUAUAUUGCCAAAUGAUUUAUUAUAGGUCAUUGCAGAAACAUUUUCUAUAAUUGGAAAUCUGUUUGUAGCUUACAUUUACAUAGUAAACAAGUUGUCUUAAAAUUGUGAGAUUAAAAGGGUCACCAGUUUUGGAACUGGAUACAAUUAUAACUAGCAAAUUGUUAAAAUUGAAACCUAUUUUAUUUUUCCUAUCUUUGUGAACGUCUUCCUCUCAUAGUUCAAGUAAAAUUAUGGGCUGUACAAUUCAUCAUCCUCUCAUAGUUCAAUUAAAAUUAUGGGAUGUACAAUUCAUCAU